rnacentral:rRNA from 1 species
GACAGAGGAGCCAAGCGUUGUCCGGAUUGACUGGGCGUAAAGCGUGCGCAGGCGGUGAUGUAAGACAGUUGUGAAAUCCCCGGGCUCAACCUGGGAACUGCAUCUGUGACUGCAUCGCUGGAGUGCGGCAGAGGGGGAUGGAAUUCCGCGUGUAGCAGUGAAAUGCGUAGAUAUGCGGAGGAACACCGAUGGCGAAGGCAAUCCCCUGGGCCUGCACUGACGCUCAUGCACGAAAGCGUGGGGA